GACGAACGCUGGCGGCGUGCUUAACACAUGCCAGUCGAACGGUGAAGCGAGUGCUUGCACUCGUGGAUCAGUGGCGAACGGGUGAGUAACACGUGAGUAACCUGCCCAUCACUCUGGGAUAAGCACUGGAAACGGUGUCUAAUACUGGAUACGACCAACCCUUGCAUGGGGUGUUGGUGGAAAGAUUUAUCGGUGAUGGAUGGACUCGCGGCCUAUCAGCUUGUUGGCGGGGUAAUGGCCCACCAAGGCGACGACGGGUAGCCGGCCUGAGAGGGUGACCGGCCACACUGGGACUGAGACACGGCCCAGACUCCUACGGGAGGCAGCAGUGGGGAAUAUUGCACAAUGGGCGAAAGCCUGAUGCAGCGACGCCGCGUGAGGGAUGACGGCCUUCGGGUUGUAAACCUCUUUCAGCAGGGAAGAAGCGAAAGUGACGGUACCUGCAGAAGAAGCACCGGCUAACUACGUG
rnacentral:rRNA from 1 species